GACGAACCGUGCGAACGUUAUUCGGAAUCACUGGGCUUAAAGGGCGCGUAGGCGGGCUCGUAAGUCAGGGGUGAAAUCCCACGGCCCAACCGUGGAAGUGCCUCUGAUACUGCGGGCCUCGAGGGGGAUAGGGGCGUGCGGAACUCAGGGUGGAGCGGUGAAAUGCGUAGAUAUCUGGAGGAAUACCGGUGGCGAAGGCGGCAUCCUGGACCGACAUUGACGCUGAGGAGCGAAAGCUAGGGGAGCAAACGGG
rnacentral:rRNA from 1 species